AACGUAGGUGGCGAGCGUUAUCCGGAAUACUGGGCGUAAAGCGUGUGCAGGCGGGCUGUCAAGUGGUGUAUGAAAUCUCCCGGCUCAACCGGGAAGGGGUUAUGCCAGACCUGACAGUCUUGAGUGCGAGAGAGGAAUGUGGAAUUCCGGGUGUAGUGGUGAAAUGCGUAGAGAUCCGGAGGAACCCCAGAGGCGAAGGCGGCAUCCUGGACCGGUAUUGACGGCUGAGGCGCGAAAGCUAGGGGAGCAAACGGG
rnacentral:rRNA from 1 species